UUUGCUAUCAAUCUGCCAUCAGAUUGCGCGCGCGCAGAUCUUGCUCGGUUUUUGCAACCAAUCUGACGUCAAGUCAUGUUAGCAAAUCUUGCUCGUUUUCUGCUAUCAGAUUCUAUGAGCAUACUCUGCUUUGUUUUUGGCACCAAUCUGUCGAUUUAAUCUGAAAUAACAACUUCUGUACUAAAUUUGUAUCCUUUUUGCUAACAAUAAUUGAUAGCAGGCACUUGGCAUGAUUUGCUUUCGACAGACUUGGCUAUCUGGGGACUAUUUAAUGAACUUGGACGUGGUCAUGGAGGCAUAGGUUUUCCUAGUAUCGAUGGCGCAAUAGAUUGUACACAUAUUCGUUUGGUACAUACUAGACUUCAAAAUGUUGACGAAAUUUUUAGAAAUAGAAAAGGAUACUUUUCUUUGAAUGUUCAGGUUGUUUUUGGACUACGUACAGAAAUUCUAGAUAUCGUUCCAGAGUGGCCAAGAAGUGAACACGAUAGCCGUAUCUUUCAAAAUUCUCGCAUAUAUAUGCGAUACAGGCAAGGCGAACUAGAUGGAAUACUUGUGGGAGAUGCUGGAUAUCCCGCAUUGCCUUUUUUACUUACGCCGAUUGGUAAUCCUAUAACGGAUGAAGAAAUAAGUUUGUUUAGAAAAGGAAUCAUGCAGAAUUUAAGUCGCGCGCCAGUCGUCUGCUAUCGACUUUCGACUUGAUUUUAUACAUU